rnacentral:rRNA from 1 species
CCCUUGGGCGGCAGCCUAAACAUGCAAGUCGAGCGGUAGAGAGAAGCUUGCUUCUCUUGAGAGCGGCGGACGGGUGAGUAAUGCCUAGGAAUCUGCCUGGUGGUGGGGGAUAACGUUCGGAAACGGACGCUAAUACCGCAUACGUCCUACGGGAGAAAGCGGGGGAUCUUCGGACCUCGCGCCAUUAGAUGAGCCUAGGUCGGAUUAGCUAGUUGGUGAGGUAAUGGCUCACCAAGGCGACGAUCCGUAACUGGUCUGAGAGGAUGAUCAGUCACACUGGAACUGAGACACGGUCCAGACUCCUACGGGAGGCAGCAGUGGGGAAUAUUGGACAAUGGGCGAAAGCCUGAUCCAGCCAUGCCGCGUGUGUGAAGAAGGUCUUCGGAUUGUAAAGCACUUUAAGUUGGGAGGAAGGGUAGUAACCUAAUACGUUGCUAUUUUGACGUUACCGACAGAAUAAGCACCGGCUAACUUCGUGCCAGCAGCCGCGGUAAUACGAAGGGUGCAAGCGUUAAUCGGAAUUACUGGGCGUAAAGCGCGCGUAGGUGGUUCAGUAAGUUGGAAGUGAAAUCCCCGGGCUCAACCUGGGAACUGCUUUCAAAACUGCUGAGCUAGAGUACGGUAGAGGGUGGUGGAAUUUCCUGUGUAGCGGUGAAAUGCGUAGAUAUAGGAAGGAACACCAGUGGCGAAGGCGACCACCUGGACUGAUACUGACACUGAGGUGCGAAAGCGUGGGGAGCAAACAGGAUUAGAUACCCUGGUAGUCCACGCCGUAAACGAUGUCAACUAGCCGUUGGAAUCCUUGAGAUUUUAGUGGCGCAGCUAACGCAUUAAGUUGACCGCCUGGGGAGUACGGCCGCAAGGUUAAAACUCAAAUGAAUUGACGGGGGCCCGCACAAGCGGUGGAGCAUGUGGUUUAAUUCGAAGCAACGCGAAGAACCUUACCUGGCCCUUGACAUGCUGAGAACUUUCCAGAGAUGGAUUGGUGCCUUCGGGAACU